rnacentral:rRNA from 1 species
AACGAACGCUGGCGGCAGGCUUAACACAUGCAAGUCGAGCGCCCCGCAAGGGGAGCGGCAGACGGGUGAGUAACGCGUGGGAACGUACCUUUUGGUUCGGAACAACUCCGGGAAACUGGAGCUAAUACCGGAUAAGCCCUAACGGGGAAAGAUUUAUCGCCGAAAGAUCGGCCCGCGUCUGAUUAGCUAGUUGGUGAGGUAACUGCUCACCAAGGCUACGAUCAGUAGCUGGUCUGAGAGGAUGAUCAGCCACACUGGGACUGAGACACGGCCCAGACUCCUACGGGAGGCAGCAGUGGGGAAUAUUGGACAAUGGGCGCAAGCCUGAUCCAGCCAUGCCGCGUGAGUGAUGAAGGCCUUAGAGUUGUAAAGCUCUUUUGUCCGGGAAGAUAAUGACUGUACCGGAAGAAUAAGCCCCGGCUAACUUCGUG